GAUGAACGCUGGCGGCGUGCCUAAUACAUGCAAGUCGAGCGAACAGACGAGGCGCUUGCUCCUCUGACGUUAGCGGCGGACGGGUGAGUAACACGUGGAUAACCUACCUAUCAGACUGGGAUCACUUCGGGAAACCGGCGCUAAUACCGUAUAAUCUCUUGAACCGCAUGGUUCAAUAGUGAAAUACGGUUUUUCUGUCACUUAUAGAUGGAUCCGCGCCGCAUUAGCUAGUUGGUAAGGUAACGGCUUACCAAGGCAACGAUGCGUAGCCGACCUGAGAGGGGGAUCGGCCACACGGGAACUGAGACACGGUCCAGACGCCUACGGGAGGCAGCAGUAGGGAAUCGUCCGCAAUGGGCGAAAGCCUGACGGAGCAACGCCGCGUGAGUGAUGAAGGUCUUCGGAUCGUAAAACUCUGUUAUGAGGGAAGAACAAAUGUGUAAGUAACUAUGCACGGAGUGACGGUACCUAAUCAGAAAGCCACGGCUAACUACGUG
rnacentral:rRNA from 1 species